AUUUUUUUUAUUCUUUGGAAAGGAUCCCAGCAUCUCACAGCACCGGCAAGAGGGGUUGGAAUUUUUAAUCUUCUUCCACAGAAAGGAAGUUCAUAAAUUCUCAGAAAGAUCCGAUACAGAGCGGAGCUGAAGAGCAGGAAAAAGAAAAUAAAAAAAAAACCAUCCCAGAUUCUGGAAUUCUUGGAAGAGCGGCCUGGAACGAUGAAGGAUUUAUUGAGGAGGAAAAAAUGGCUUUGGAAAACCUGGAACAGAAAUCACUGAUCGCUCAUUUUUUGGGGUUUUUUUCAGCAUUUAAAAAUUGGAUUAUUCCGGAUUAUCCUGAGCGGGGAAUGGUGAGAAUUCCAGGGAAUUGCAGCGUUGGGAAUUCGGGAUUGGAAUUUUUUUUUCCUGCCAGA
rnacentral:lncRNA from 1 species